CCAGACUCCUACGGGAGGCAGCAGUGAGGAAUAUUGGUCAAUGGUCGGGAGACUGAACCAGCCAAGCCGCGUGAGGGAUGAAGGUACAGAGUAUCGUAAACCUCUUUUGUCAGGGAACAAAGGCGGGGACGUGUCCCCGGAUGAGUGUACCUGAAGAAAAAGCAUCGGCUAACUCCGUGCCAGCAGCCGCGGUAAUACGGAGGGUGCGAGCGUUAUCCGGAUUUAUUGGGUUUAAAGGGUGCGUAGGCGGAGUGUCAAGUCAGCGGUAAAAUUUCGGGGCUCAACCCCGUCGUGCCGUUGAAACUGACGCCCUUGAGUGAGUGAGAAGUAAGCGGAAUGCGUGGUGUAGCGGUGAAAUGCAUAGAUAUCACGCAGAACGCCGAUUGCGAAGGCAGCAUACCGGCGCCCAACUGACGCUGAAGCACGAAAGCGUGGGUAUCGAACAGGAUUAGAUACCCGCGUA
rnacentral:rRNA from 1 species